UUAAAAGGUGGGAGUUUGCAGCUGUAUCUUGGCAUCCUGAUUGUGUGAUCAACUUGUGGGCGUUCAAAACCACAAGUUUACCUUAGUUUAGAGUUCUUAAAAAGAGUGCUGAUAAUGUAAAAUAAGCAAUAGUUGUAAGUAGCAAGUGGCCCUUUCUCACUCUCUUUUCGUGUUUCUUGGAACAAAACAUAAACUACUCAGUACACAACACAACACUCUUCUUUCUGCCCACUUGACACUGCACAUUUACGCUGCAGGGAGUGAAGUAAUGUGAGUCCCAUUAUUUGUUUCUGAAUUGGGCAGUGGAUGCGUGACAGUGCAGAAAAAGCAGCAUCGUUUCCUCUUUCACCAUGUGUCCUUCGGUACGAAAAAUACGAAUAAUAAAAAAGAUGUUUGAAUAUAUAUAUAUUUGUUGGAGUUAAUAGUUCCAUUGCAUGAUGGAGGGAAGUCAUUGGUGAAGGAAAAGGGUUGGCGCUUUCUCAGGAAUGGGCAAACAGAGAUCCAUGAAGGAAGAAGCACCAAGGAAGAUGCAGCAGAGCAGAGGGUGUAAGUAAAUAAGAAACAAACAAUGUUUAGUCAUAAUAG
rnacentral:sRNA from 1 species